rnacentral:rRNA from 1 species
UUAAAUAAUAAAAGUUAAUUUAAAAAUGAAAAAGUUUUUAUAAAAAAGUGGGACAAGAAGACCCUAUGAAUCUUUAUUAUUAUGUUAUAGGAUAAUAAUAUAAUAAUUUAAUUGGGGCGAUUAAAAAAGAAUAAUUAUCUUUAAUUUGAAUUUAUUUUUUAAAUGAAUGAAAAGAUACUCUAGGGAUAACAGCGUUAUUAUUUUGGAUAGUUCAUAUUGAUAAAAUAGUUUGCGACCUCGAUGUUGAAUUAAUGAGUCUGCUGAAUGAAGUUGUUUAGUAAGAUAGAUUGUUCCUCUAUAGAAUCAUUACUUGAUCUGAGUUCAGACCGGACU